rnacentral:lncRNA from 1 species
GUUUAGUUUUUAUAUACUUUACCUUAUUUGCUUUAUUGUGUCUCUUUUUCUUUCUCUAGUACAGGUUUUUUUAUUCUAACAAAAUACCAAAGGCAGGCUAACUUUAUUAAAAAAAAGAGAUUUUCUUAGCUCACAGUUCUGGGUUCAAGGACAUGAUGUUAGAAUCAGUUAGACUCUGUUGGGGGCCUCUGUGCAUCAGUUGGAAUGCUUAUGUGAGCAAGAGAUCACAUAGUCAAAUAGGAAGCCAGAGAGACCCAGGGUCAGGAUUAGGCUUAUAUAACAACUCACACUCAAGAGAACCAACCAGAGUCCCACAAGAAAUACCUUACUCCUUUUGAAGGGAAGGGCCCCACUAACCCAAGGACCUCCCCUAAGACCCACCCCUUAAAGGCCCACACCAUUUUCCUACCACUACCAUUCUGGACACCAAGUCUCCAAUACAUGCUCCAUUGGGGAGACACACUUAAAUAAUAUCCAAACCAUAGCACUGUCAUAAUUAUGUAUCUCUCUCUCUCUCUUACACACAUACACACACACACACACACACAAAUUCAUACUCUCACACAUAUUCACACUCACAGAGAAAGAUAAAGAUUGCAUUUUGACCAAAAGUAAACAGGCUGGUAGGGACAAAUUUAGAAAUGCAACUCAGUUUGAAAUAACUUCCAAAUAUCUGAAGUGAUAUUUAAUUUUUGUAUUGUGGGGAUUUAAUAAAGUUUCUUACCUUUUAUAUUAAUUUGAACAGAACAUUUGCAAAAUUCAGUAACAUCAGAAGCUAAUAAUAAUUAAUCAGCAACCUGGUUGGUUUCUAUACGAACACUGUCUUGAGGGUGUAAUCAAGAAUCUUUGGGAAACCAAAGACCAGAUACACCCCUUUCUUGAUAGUGAAAAUAGAAUUAUGUUAAUUGUUGUUUUUGUUUCCUUUCUGUCUUCUAAUGUUUCAAACUUUAAAAAGACUUCAAUAAAAA